rnacentral:rRNA from 1 species
AUGGCGAGCCAGCUCCCCCUUUCCCAGCGAGCCGCGCCGCUAAAACCCUCUCCCGCCCCCAUCGUGGUGCUCCCCAAAGGGCUACCUCCAUCUUAUGCUGCACAAAUACCAGCGAGAUACUGGCGAACCAUCUCCCGCCCCCAUCGUGGUGCUCCCCAAGCCAUGAUCCUCUCCCCUCUUUGCCGUGGUGUAAGUGGUGCGGGGAGGCCCGUGUGCCGUCGAGGGAGAUCUUGGCCAUGGGCCAUGAGUUUGGACUUCACAGUGGCCGCUGCUCAUUCCGCCACCGCGCUGCGUGCCCUCACUGCCGACUGCACCCAGUCCGCCUCCGUUGUGUCCUGCGCUGCGUCGGCAUCCCAUUUCCCGCAGGACCAUGGCCCCGUGGCGUCGACGUCGUCGACCACAGCAAUGCCGACGCUGCCCGGGAUGUGUACUGGGCUGAGGCUCUGUGAUACGAGUAGAUCAUCCAAGAGGAUUCGCACUUGCGCAUAA